rnacentral:lncRNA from 1 species
CUCCUGGGAUACGGAAGGCACCGUGAUAGACAUCUGGGCAAGUCAACAGGAAGGAGCUGAGAUUCCUGACUUCACAGAUCCCUGAGGAGAUGUUUACUAAAGGGAAUCUUCUGGUCACUGUUACCUUCCUCCGUACUUACCUGCCUCAUGGAGAACCCGAAAGGAAGAAGCUAUACGACUGGGGACACAUGUCUUAGAAGCACACUCAUUAGAUAAAGUGUCGCAUACUCUUUGAUAAGUGACUCAGAACACCCGUGUCCUUCCCAACAUUGGAUGCAAUGCUAAAGACAUGAUGUUGCUCCUGCUGGACCACACCUUGAAGGAAUUGCCUACCCCACCUCACCUCCAAAAUUAAAGUCUUUCGUUUUGACAAAA